rnacentral:rRNA from 1 species
GACGGGGCAGCAUUUACUGCGGUAAAUGGCGACCGGCGCACGGGUGAUGUAACGCGGUAUGCAGACCUACGCUUUAACUGGGGCAUAGACUCGAGGAAACUCGAAUUAAUUCCCCAUAGUACAUUAUAAUUUCUCAUGAUAUAAAUGUUAAAGAUUUAUCGGUUAAAGAUGGGCAUGCGUCUGAUUAGUUUGUUGGUAAGGUAACGGCUUACCAAGACUACGAUCAGUAGGGGGUCUGAGAGGAUGAUCCCCCACACUGGUACUGAGACACGGACCAGACAUCUACGGAUGGCAGCAGUAAGGAAUAUUGGGCAAUGGGCGCAAGCCUGACCCAGCCAUGCCGCGUGCAGGAUGACGACCCUAUGGGUUGUAAACUGCUUUUAUAUAGGAAGAAAAUACUCUUGCGAGAGAAACUGACGGUACUAUAUGAAUAAGGACCGGCUAACUCCGUGCCAGCAGCCGCGGUAAUACGGAGGGUUCAAGCGUUUUCCGGAUUCAUUGGGUUUAAAGAGUGCGUAGCGU